CCGUGACCCACCCCUCACCACUCGUUGUCCCCUUCCAUCUCUCUCUCUCUCCCGGGAUCUAAUCCCCAGUUCCCCACGCACGCGGCGCGGCGGCGGCAGUGCCUGGAUCAGGCGCGUGGGCCGCAGCGGCAGCUGGAUCAGGCGCAGGGGCCAUGGAGGCAAAGGGAUCCCGGCAUGCAGGGGUGGCUGCUUGCGGGCGUGGGCCAUGGUGGCAUGAAGGCGGCAACGGCGACGCCUAAAUACCAGCGUGCAGGUAGCGACUGCGGCUGAAUCCUGGGUUGCAGGCUACAUCACAGCAAUCUCUAGGCACCUCCUCCAAUCUCGUAAUGGGGACGAGAUCCUGGUGAAUCCCCUGAAAGGAUGCGGCACCGCUGGCGGAGUUCAAGCACCUCCCUCAACCCACCUCGCGCCUGGCGCCACCCAAGUACAGUCAGCUUUCUUUCACUUCUUUAGUGUAGUAUCCUUCGCCGGUUCUGGGAUACAUGGUCCAAGCUGCUUAUUUGCCCCCAACACCAUAACCUUUACGCAGGCUGCCAAAUCAGUUCUACCAAAUCAGCUGGUUAUGCCGCGGCCCCUUUGCCACCCCCAUCGGCGAGCGUCCAGCAGUGCAGUGCAGUCUCAGGCCGAUGAUGCUAGCAGCAGCAGCCGCGUUGGGUGAUUUGUUUUCCUCGAGCUUGGCUGCAGCUUGGCUGAACAGUUUUUUCGUUCUGUUCGUCGCUAAUGAAAUCACCGAGAUGUACACUUGCAUAAGGAUUCAGUGAAUGUGAUGCUGCGUCCAUGGCUUCGACCUACGCCUAGGCUUUUAGGGUGGAUCCAGAGAAGAUGCUUCAAGCCGAGAAGCAAGCGGCAGCUGAUCGAGCUCAAUGAGAGUUGCACAGAUGCUGCUGGUGUCGUUGUAAUAACAAGCUGUGAGCUCCUGGUACUGACUCUAUAUUCUACAUUACAAGCAAUCUAUUUAUCCAUGUGUUUUCUGUUACAUCCUUUGAUCAGGAUUUUAACUUCCUACUGACAUGAAAAAGACAUGUGAGUGAACCUCUACUGCAUUCUUAGAUGAAUCAUUUUCUUCAUCUAUAAUGGUUGAUCUUUAUUAAUCCUAUUGUAGGCUCUAUUUGCUCGAAACAAGUUUCAUGGAUUGUUUGAUAAUUAAAAUUUCAUUACAAUGUUAAGUUACAAUUGUGAUUUUUCUGAUGUUCAGAAUUAAUCUCAUGGAUAUUUGAGGCAAAUUAUUGUAUGACUUUUCCAUGAAACUUUUUAUUGCUAACAUGAACUAACAUCGUUUAGCUCGAUGCUUAUCUGUUUUAUGUACACCUUCAUCAUGCUUGCUUAUGAAAUACCCUAGGCUAAUUCAGAGAUUGAAAACUGUAACAUGAUCGCAAAUCAGUGAACACAUGGUUUUAUAAUUAUAUUACUGAAAGAACAACUAUUACGGAAAAUAUACGCAUUCCAUUCUUUAGUAUGUUGUUUGCCUGAUUUCUUAUAUGGUCUUUGCUUGUAAUCUUGUUCAGAUACCUACUGUUUGUGCCACUGUUAUUGUAAUAUACUGCAAUAUAUAUUCGAACAUUGGUCCAGAUGACGAUUAGGAAAAUUCAGAUGAUCUUUUUAUCAAGGAUGGCAAAGCAAAUAGCAAGUUACUCUAUCGUGUCCAAAAAUGACAGAAAUUUUGUUGCAAUUGAGACAUGCAGCAAAAACUGAAGCUACAAGCUUGUUAGAUGAUGAGGUGGUGCUUGCAUCUGAACGUCUGUGAUGUAUAACCUGUGUUUGUAGGUUUGUACCUCCAGCAAGUGAAUUUAGAGAUAGUAGUUAAUAUGUACGACUUCAAUAGAUUGUGUAUGUGUAUUUGCAAUGUUUUUAUGGAUAGAACCUAUGUAUUUAUGAUGUAUAUAAGAUCUAUUUUAUGGCCUGUUUUUUUAACUCA